GUUUCGCAUUCGAUUUGUCGAGUGGCUCCUUUCUUCCUUCUCUGUGACUUUUAAUCGGAAUGUUGGGCUCCUCGGUGCGCUGAAGGCGCUUCUCGCGUGGAAGAGUUCCGGAGACGGGAAGAUCGUUCUGUGGGGCCGCCGGGCCGUUUUUGUCUGCCGGCUUGUAGUCUGCUCUUUGUUUUGAGAACGUUGCUGGUUUUCCAGGCUGCGGAUUCCCGGCGGCGAGACCCUCUGUUGCAGUUCAGACUCGGCUGCUCGUCUGCCGACGGGGAAUGAAUGUCUUCUGCCGGAUCCAAGGACGCUGUUUGAUCUCCAGCUCCUGUUGUUUUUCGUGGCUCCAGGGGGCCGGGCUCGCUGCUGACCGCUUGAAAACCUCAGCUGAAAAUUUCUCUGAAUUCUGUGUAAAUAAAGAGGUGGUCCAA